UUCAAAACAAAGAACCGCUUCUUGGUUGCACAAACACCUCUACCUGACACAGUUUCCGAUUUCAUUGCACUUGUUGUUCAAGAAAACUGUUCCUGUAUUGUUAGUUUGGAAUCACAUGGGAUUGGCUUGUACGUUCCUGGUGACGAUCAAUCAAUGAUGAAAGGUGUGAUUUCCAUAUUUUCAACAAGAGUUCAAAGUACGAGACACUUUGUAAAAAGAGAGCUGCAUUUUAAACACGACGGAAAGACCAAGUCGGAGGUGAGAAUACCACACUAUGAAUAUUUAGAUUGGGAUAAAAAUUACAAUACUCCGAAGUCAGCAGAACACUUUGUUGCCUUCAUCAAAGAGGUUGAAAACGCAUCCAAAUCAUCUCACUUGAACGGACCGAUACUGGUGCAUUGUAUGAACGGCGCUGGUAAGAGCGGACUUUUAUGUGUUGUCUCGACAUUACUUGAAACACUGAGUGAAGAUAAUGAAGUCAGUGUGGUUAAUGCGGUAAGGAAAGUCAGAGCAAGACGACCGCUUU